rnacentral:rRNA from 1 species
AUGAACGCUGGCGGCGUGGCUUAACACAUGCAAGUCGAGCCGAGGGCCAGGGGGGCAACUCCCUGAGUCGAGCCGGCGGACGGGUGAGUAACACGUGGGUAACCUACCCGGAAGUGGGGGAAUAACCUCGGGGAAACUCGAGCUGAUACCGCAUGACAUCUUUGGGACGAAAGUCCUGACGAUCAAAGCGGGGGUCGCAAGAUCUCGCGGCUAACCGGAUGGGCCCGGCGCCCGAUUAGCUAGUUGGUGGGGGUAACGGCUCACCAAGGCGACGAUCGGUAACCGGCCCUGAGAGGGCGAUCGGUCACCACCGGAACUGAGACACGGUCCGGACUCCUACGGGAGGCAGCAGUGGGGAAUCUUUGCGCAAUGGGCGAAAGCCUGACGCAGCAACGCCGCGUGGAGGAUGAAGGCCCUUGGGUUUGUAAAACUCCUGUCGCUGGGAAGGAACUCGGUUCGCGGUUAAUACCCGCGGACGUUGACUGUACCAGCAAAGGAAGCCCCGGCUAACUCUGUGCCAGCAGCCGCGGUAAUACAGAGGGGGCCAGCGUUAUUCGGAAUUAUUGGGCGUUAAAGGGGCGCGUAGGCGGCCCACGCGGUGUCUCCCCGUGAAAUCCCCUCGGCUCAACCGAGGACCGUGCGGAAGAAAAACUGCGAGGCUCGAGUCCAGAAAGAGGGGGGCGGAAUUCCCAGUGUAGCGGUUGAAAUGCGUAGAUAUUUGGGAGGAACCACCGGUGGCGAAGGCGGCCCCCUGGGCUGGUACUGACGCUGAUGCGCGAAAAGCGUGGGUAGCAAAACGGGGAAUUAGAUACCCCGGUAGUCCACGCCGUAAACGAUGGGCACUUGGUGUCGCGGGUUAUCGACCCCUGGCGGUGCCGAAAGCUAACGCAUUAAGUGCCCCGCCUGGGGAGUACGGUCGCCAAGGCUUUGAAACUCCAAAGGGAAUUGACGGGGGGCCCCGCAACAAAGCGGUGGGGAGCAUGUGGUUUAAUUCGAAGCAAACGCGAAGAAAACCUUACCUGGGUUUGAAGGUGAGCAGAUCGGGGGGGCAGAAAUCCUCCCUUUCCCGCAAGGGGACUGCUUGCUAGGUGCUGCAUGGCUGUCGUCAGUCGGUGUGUCGUGAGAUGUUGGGUUAAGUCCCCGCAACGAGCGCAACCCCUGCUGCUAGUUUGCCAUCGGUUUCGGCCGGGCACUCUAGUGGGACUGGCCGGUGAUAAACCGGAGGAAGGUGGGGGAUGACGUCAAGUCCUCAUGGCCUUUAUGUCCCAGGACCUACACAACGUGCUACAAUGGCCGAUAUACAAACCGUCGCGAGAGCGCAAGCUGGAGCAAAUCGGAUGAUAAAGUCGGUCUCAGUUCGGAUUGGGGUCUGCCCAACCCGGACCCCAUGAAGGCUGGAAUCGCUAGUAAUCGCGGAUCAGCACGCCGCGGUGAAUACGUUCCCGGGCCUUGUACACACUCGCCCGUCACACAUCACGAAAGUCGGCUGUAACCAGAAGUCGGUGUUUCUGACUCGCAAGAGAGGAAGCCGCCUAAGGUAUGGUCGGUAAUUGGGGGU